AUUGAACGCUGGCGGCAGGCCUAACACAUGCAAGUCGAGCGGGGUUUUCGGACCUAGCGGCGGACGGGUGAGUAAUGCGUAGGAAGCUGCCCGAUAGAGGGGGAUACCAGUUGGAAACGACUGUUAGUACCGCAUAAUGUCUACGGACCAAAGUGUGGGACCUUCGGGCCACAUGCUAUCGGAUGCGCCUACGUGGGAUUAGCUAGUUGGUGAGGUAAUGGCUCACCAAGGCGACGAUCUCUAGCUGGUUUGAGAGGAUGAUCAACCACACUGGAACUGAGACACGGUCCAGACUCCUACGGGAGGCAGCAGUGGGGAAUAUUGGACAAUGGGUGCAAGCCUGAUCCAGCCAUGCCGCGUGUGUGAAGGAGGCCUUCGGGUUGUAAAGCACUUUCAGCGAGGAGGAAGGGUGGUGUGUUAAUAGCACAUCAUUUUGACGUUACUCGCAGAAGAAGCACCGGCUAACUCUGUGCCAGCCGCCGCCGUAACAC
rnacentral:rRNA from 1 species